CGGCGAUUCUUCGUGUCAUGGCAAUUGAAGGUUGCGAGGUGGUUACAAUCACGGCUCUUGGGCAGGUGUGGUUGUGUGUCGACGUGCGUGGGCAGUCAUCUUGGUUAACGUUGUUCGCUUGGCGAACGGUUCCGGGAGAUCAUGUAUCUCAAUGCUUGAUUAUUGGGUAUGGGUUGGCCCAAUGCUCAAUUAUCAACGUGGCGAUGCGACAAUCGCAACGAUAAGCA
rnacentral:misc_RNA from 1 species